GCCUAUUGGUGCUGCGCGUUCUCCUACCUCCUCAUUUUUCCCUUCUUUUUGAUCUCCCACCUCAACCUGCCGACGACGUCAGGUAUUUUUUCCUCGCGUCCUCUCCGCCAGCGCCCGUCGCUCUUACCGCACGAGAGGGAGAGGGAGAGGGAGAGGGGCCGACGAGGUGGCCCGCAGACGAAGGCGAAGAGGCAACGAGAGCCAGCCCGUACACGCGAGCCGGGGCAGGAGGUGCAAGCCCAUACGAGAAGGGUAGUGUAGCUAAGUGAGAACGACACGAGACGAACCCGCGACGAGACGAAGCCCAAGUGUACCGGCUAACGCCUCAUACAAGUAGAGGCGAAGGACGAAGUGAACUCCGGCCCCACUCGACGAAGUACUGCGGCUGCAGGCAAAAGGGUCAGCCAACACCGACAACGCCACCAAUCGGGUGUUCUUUUAGCAAAACACUAUGAAGAGACAUCAUCAUACAAGGUUCACGAGACGCACGUAAAGCCUACUUAAAAAAUAUGACGACAAGUAAGACGUCUUACAAUCACCCAUGCUAACGGAUGAUGCAUGAGGCUCUAUUCGACGUUCGGGUUUUGUUAAAAAUCAUUAUUGUUUUAUUGAAUAGUUAUAACAUCUCACUAUAUGAAAAGAAAGGCUUUUCCACAUCUCACUAUAUGACCGGCGGUGAAAGGAGAAAACUGGUACUUUAUUUAACAUGUCGUACAACAUAAUUACGGAACCUGAUAAGCCAAACGUUAAGUUCAAUCUUUGUGCGGCCCACCGUCUGGUUUAUAUGUAGGAGAACGGGUAGGAAAAACAUUGUCAAACAGAGAUAAUUCUUGCGAAGUCGGUUCGUGAUUGGUAGGCUUUCAAGACUAAACCACUCUGAAAUACAAAGUUGUACUUACGCACACCUCUUCCAUGAAUUGACAUAGUCACAAGGUUACUGAAUAAAAGAAAUACACAAAUUUAAAUCGUAGUUAUCAUAAACGACUACACAGUCAAUGUGUGGAAACAUAAGCAUCUACGUGGUAGGUGACGUUCGUUAGGCCUGUAUAUAACAUACCUUCUUCGGUACACUGUUCGAAGGACCGAGAACGAUCACGUCUAUACUUGGUCCGUGGUGUUCCGUUUCCUUCAAGUCCAGUCUUUCACUAUUACCAACUAGGUGUCCUUCGAUUCGCGAAUCGUCACUUUGUUUACGUUCUUUAAGCACGGUCUCUAUUCGACUUCUUUGCAGCAGUUCGUCUUCGAUAAUUGCCGCGUAACCGCCACUAUCCUAACUGACGACGUAACCAUAACCUUCCAGCCUGUCCUUUCCCAUAGGACCCUGUCGAUCGUCCUAUAGACCGCCGAAAUAGAUCAAAUAAACCCGUUAUUGACAGUGAGAACCUUCUUAAAACAUUGAAAGCAGCUGGUCCUCUCGAGAUUUAGAAUGAACGACCUAGGUUGGUUAAACGUAUAGAUUAGGUUCGACCUACAUGUUAUUGCGAAUCUAAACGUGCACUUUACUAGAUGAGCCGAUAAAAAGGACCUGACUUUUAGUUUGUAACAUAAAUAUAAGAAAAGGUACAUGAGUUGUAAGUUGUUGCAGAAGGGAAGGAAGACUUUUGACAUAAUUUAUCAAAGGGUACUAAGACAAAUCGUCGAAUCAUCAUCAAGCUAGGUGGCCAGUAUAUAUACGGUGCUAAAAUCCAGCCGAGGGAACUUAAAAGAAAACGCCAACCACGGUGACAAUUAAAACCAUCGAGUCCAUAUUUAACAUAUAUACUACAACGAGACCACCAUUUCAAAUGACGAAGAAAAAACAAUAUAUAUUCCAUGAGGUAGACAUUUGAUUAUAUUCUAGAAAGUCUAGUGAUGAUGUAUAUAUUUACCGUACACGAAACUAGGCG
rnacentral:rRNA from 1 species